rnacentral:misc_RNA from 1 species
UGUGGGUUUCGCGUUGUCGCG